UACGUAGGGUGCAAGCGUUGUCCGGAAUUAUUGGGCGUAAAGAGCUCGUAGGCGGUUUGUCGCGUCUGCUGUGAAAUCCGGAGGCUCAACCUCCGGCCUGCAGUGGGUACGGGCAGACUAGAGUGCGGUAGGGGAGAUUGGAAUUCCUGGUGUAGCGGUGGAAUGCGCAGAUAUCAGGAGGAACACCGAUGGCGGAGGCAGAUCUCUGGGCCGUAACUGACGCUGAGGAGCGAAAGCAUGGGGAGCGAACAGG
rnacentral:rRNA from 1 species